GUGUAUAUCCGUCCGGACGCAUAGAAAUUCACGACAAGAUUUGACGGACGAAACUUUCGAGCCGAGGUAAAUGGUAAUAUGAAUAAAGAAUCAAUGAAUAAAAGAUGUUGCGAGUAGGUGAAAUUUAUUCAUAACCGUUUCGUUUUUUUGGCCGGUAAAAUAAAGGAUAAACUGAAGAGAAGCUUAAAAAAAAAUAAAUAAAUAAAUAAAUAAAAAUAACGAAAGAUAGCACCGCACGAACUUGUUGGCGUAGAGAGAAUGAUUUAAGAUUAUUUGUUAUAAUGGAUUGGACAGAAUAGGACAGCGAGUCCUACGUUUUUCUAACGAACGGACGAGCUGCCAUUUCAAAUAAAAGACUUUCCGCGGAGAAUAAUAACGUCCGUUUCUGGAGUAGGGG